rnacentral:rRNA from 1 species
AACAAGGUUUCCGUUCCGUAGGUGAACCUGCGGAAGGAUCAUUA